GACAGAGGGUGCAAACGUUGUUCGGAAUUACUGGGCGUAAAGCGCGUGUAGGCUGCUCGGAAAGUCGGAUGUGAAAGCCCUGGGCUUAACCUAGGAAGUGCAUUCGAAAACUUCCGAGCUGGAGUGCUGGAGAGGAAGGCGGAAUUCUCGGUGUAGAGGUGAAAAUGCGCAGAUAUCAGGAGGAACACCGGUGGGCGAAAGGCGGGGUCUCUGGGGCAAACAACUGACGUGAGGGAGCGAAAAGCGUGGGGGGAGCGAACAGG
rnacentral:rRNA from 1 species